rnacentral:rRNA from 1 species
UGGUGACUAUAGCAAGGAGGUCACACCUGUUCCCAUGCCGAACACAGAAGUUAAGCUCCUUAGCGUCGAUGGUAGUNUUGUACAGGAUAGGUAGGAGCCUUUGAAACG